UGAGGCCAGGGAUCGAACCCGCAAUCUCAUGGUUCCUAGUCGGAUUCGCUAAUUUUUAAAUUUAAUUUUAUUUAUUUAUUUUUUGUUAGUGACAUAUUGUUAAGUACAGUAGACAUUGAUUCAGAGUGACAGUCCCUCAGAAAACCAACAGCCAACAUCUCUUUCUCAGGGUGGGGUUAGAGUCUUGAAAUAUACACAGUGUUAUGAUGGCUGCUCUUGGAUGUACACGUGGCCAGAACUGAGAACCAAACAGCCGGAUUGCCAAAGGACUGGGGUGGGGGGCUUAUCUGAAGCUGUUCAGGGGUCGGUUUUUAGACGGAUUUGGCACACUCCAUUAAGCUGGGGGCUACUUUGGCAAAUGUAAAGCCGGACAAAACAGACAGGCGGCGGCAAGCUGCUUCCUUAGCGGGAACUUUCUGUUUGUUCGCACUUCACGCCUCUAUGUCAGCGACACUACUGCCUGGAUUUGCGUCUUUGACUGUUUCAGACAGAAAAAUGAAAGCAAACUUUUCUCACGCCCCAGUGGGUCAGUCUUGUAAAGCAGGCGUCGGGGAGGCAUGGAGGCAUCUGUGCGCGGCCCCAACCAUCAGGCGAGAUGCAGCUCAGGUGGCAGCGGUCUCGCUCCCUCCCCCGCGGCCUGACCCAUCAGCAAAGGGCCGGACCCUCCCCAAAGCCGCUCGGACCCACCCGCGCGCCCGGAGCCGCGGGAGCGCUCGGCGGGCACCCGGACGCAGGUGCGCGCCUCUCCGCCCUCGGCCGCCGCGCAGGCUCCCCGCCUGGCGGGGGAAGGCAGCGCUCGUCUCCGCGCCGCCCGGCAGGAAGCCCGGGGAAGGCCGCCACGAACGCCUGCGCCCCGGAGAUCGCGCCCGGGAGUCCGGGCCCGUUCCUUUUCUUCUCUGGACUCGUUUGGUCUCCACGCUGCUUCUGUCACGACAGGUGCUGGGAAAACAGCAUCAAGAAGACAGAUAAAAAUCCCGGUUCUCAGGAAGCUUAUAUUCUGGUGGAUAGAGGCUGAAAACAAACAUAUUCAUUCCGCUGCUUCCUUGCUACUGAUGAAUAUUCACCUUGCUGUCAGCAUUGUGCUGUUAUAAAUGGUAUAAAGAUGAGGACCGGCAGGGCAGGAGGUGAAGGAAGCGGCUCAAGUGUACACAGCAGGUGGGAAGGAGCAGCUAAAGCAGAUCCAAGGUCAAGGAGCUGUCCAGGCAGAAGAAUUGUGACACCUCCGGCUGAACAGUGGCCCCCAACCGUCGCCAGGUCCUAAUCCCUGAGGUUGGUGAGUGUUGCCUUACACGGUGAAAGGGACUUUGCUGUCGUGGUUAAGGGCAUUGAGGCGGGGAGGCCAUCCUGGAUUGUCAUCACGACGGGGGCAGAGGGACACUUGGGACAGACACGAAGACUGUGGCGGCAGAGGUUGGCCUGGUGGGGGGAGGGGCAGGAGCCCAGGUGGGGGUUAUGGGUGGGGGCUGGUGACCACCGGAGCUGGAAGGGCAGGAAACAGACUCUCCCCAAAGCUGAAGCCUCCAGAAGGAACGUAGUCCUGCCGACACCUUGGGCUUCUGACCUCUAGAGCUGCAAGAGAAGUUUGUGCCUCUGAAGCCACUAAGUGUGUAGUUAAUCUGACAGCAGCAAUACCUUAAGUGACUAUAGGAAGCGCCUGUGCUCUUUCUGGCCUUGGGUCUCUGUCCCAGCUGUCCUCUGCACACACAACUCCCUCCCCUGUCCCCUCUCAUCUCCUUCGGACUCUGCUAGAUUCCCCCGUGUCCCCAGGCCUGGUGUCGCCUCCUGCUGUGGUCCUUGAACCCAUUGUAUAAACCUCUGUUCAAACGCUUCUUACACUGUAGCAUAUCUGAUGUGCCCUUUUGCUCGUCUGAUUCUUGCUUUUGAUGAUGGAUUUCUUGACAGCAGGGAUCCUAUAGUUUGUCUUUUUCUAGCCCCAGGAAUUGUCUCAGGGUCUAGUAAAAUACGACGCAGUUCCUCCAAGUUUAUGGAAUAAUAGCAAACAAACAGAAGACCCCCCAGUAGGGUAUCACACCAUAUGAAGCCCCAUAGUAAAAGCAACAUGCUCCACCGUCCUGGGAUUCUGCAGCCAAGUUCUGACAGGCACAGGGGGCGGGGGCUGGGCCUUCCAGUCCGAUUCUCCCCAGGGAGGCUGAACUUGAACUGCCUGGUCUGUAGCAUCCUAAGUCCCGCAGCUUCCCAAGGGCUGUGCAGUCUGAACCCGUUACUCUGCCUGUGGAGGCUCACAGGUCAGCCCGUGAGGAAUGAGGUGAAGGGCGACCCCACUGAAACCGGAUCCAUUUGGUGCACCUGUUAGUCAGGGUCCUUUAAAUCACUCACCUUUCUUCUCAACACAAAGUCAGGUUUAUUUUUAUUUUUUUGUCUUUUGAGGGCCGUA